rnacentral:rRNA from 1 species
AGAGUUUGAUUAGGGCUCAGAUUGAACGCUGGCGGCAGGCUUAACACAUGCAAGUCGAGCGGCAGCGGAAAGAAGCUUGCUUCUUUGCCGGCGAGCGGCGGACGGGUGAGUAAUGUCUGGGGAUCUGCCCGAUGGAGGGGGAUAACUACUGGAAACGGUAGCUAAUACCGCAUAAUGUCGCAAGACCAAAGUGGGGGACCUUCGGGCCUCACACCAUCGGAUGAACCCAGAUGGGAUUAGCUAGUAGGUGGGGUAAUGGCUCACCUAGGCGACGAUCCCUAGCUGGUCUGAGAGGAUGACCAGCCACACUGGAACUGAGACACGGUCCAGACUCCUACGGGAGGCAGCAGUGGGGAAUAUUGCACAAUAGGGGAAACCCUGAUGCAGCCAUGCCGCGUGUGUGAAGAAGGCCUUCGGGUUGUAAAGCACUUUCAGCGGGGAGGAAGGCAAUGGCGUUAAUAGUGUCAUUGAUUGACGUUACCCGCAGAAGAAGCACCGGCUAACUCCGUGCCAGCAGCCGCGGUAAUACGGAGGGUGCGAGCGUUAAUCGGAAUUACUGGGCGUAAAGCGUACGCAGGCGGUCUGUUAAGUCAGAUGUGAAAUCCCCGGGCUUAACCUGGGAACUGCAUUUGAAACUGGCAGGCUAGAGUCUCGUAUAGGGGGUAGAAUUCCAGGUGUAGCGGUGAAAUGCGUAGAGAUCUGGAGGAAUACCGGUGGCGAAGGCGGCCCCCUGGACGAAGACUGACGCUCAGGUACGAAAGCGUGGGGAGCAAACAGGAUUAGAUACCCUGGUAGUCCACGCUGUAAACGAUGUCGAUUUGAAGGUUGUGGUCUUGAGCCGUGGCUUUCGGAGCUAACGCGUUAAAUCGACCGCCUGGGGAGUACGGCC